AAUGCAACUAAAGAGGCUGGCCACACAGAAAACUGGUCUACUUUAUACCACGUCUGGCUGGGAAAAGCUCUGGGAUUUUUGAUUUGCCAUCAGAACAAAAGAUGACAGCCUUGGUUCCAGCAUUUAAAAGCAAUUACAGAGCGAUUUAUUCACAAAGUCUGUGCUGUACAUUAACUAAAUUUGUAGUUUUAAUCACUGAUAGAAAAAACAAAACGUACACACAGGCAGGUCAUUUUCUGUCAAUCCCCAGAGACCUUCGUCUGUGAGUGCUGGUGUGGGGAGGAGGCGGCAGGAGACUGCUGCAGCUGUUAACAAAAGUCAGCAACAAUGGAAACACCAUUCUGAUAG
rnacentral:lncRNA from 1 species